AUGCGACAGACGCCGACCGCCGUGCUCCCAGGCGCCCGCAACCUGUUCGAGGAAAUGCCAUCCGCCGUUGACGAGGACUACAUGCAGAACCUCAUCUUCAAGGACGGUGCGCCGGCCGCUGGCUACAAUCCCGACGAGACACAAAGCCAGGACGACCGCAGGGCGUUCACGCCGGCCGCUGGCUAUGAACCCGAUCAGGCGGCCUUCAUGCGUGAUCAGGUUGGCAUCGACCUGGACGGCUUCCCCCUCGACCACGAGUUCCCGGACGACUACGGGCUAGAGGAAGAAGACGACUGCAACAACGAAGUGGAGCCUUUGUUCGAGGACGGGCUCGCGAACCAAGCCGCCGGUCGCACGCGAUCCCGCGGCGCGGUGGCGCCCGCUCCUCCUCGCCUCUCCGUCCGCACAUGUCUCCUCCCUAGGCACGACGUGGGUGCACGCAGGGAGGCCGCCGGUGAACGAGGCCGCGCCCGAGGCGGCGCGGAGCCCUCUACUCUUGUGAUCCGCGUCGGUCACCUCCAUCGCCACCGCGAGCCACCUUCUCCUCCGCCGCCAAGAAUCCCAUCCCCGGCAAGGAGGACGGGCUUCCUAGACAAGAAGAUCUCUGUACUCUUCUCAAUGGAUUGUGCUGUAAUUUGGGGAGAGAUGGAGAACAUGAGCCUUGGCUACCUGAAGUAG
rnacentral:rRNA from 1 species